rnacentral:rRNA from 2 species
GGGUUGUGAGGUUAAGCGACUAAGCGUACACGGUGGAUGCCCUGGCAGUCAGAGGCGAUGAAGGACGUGCUAAUCUGCGAAAAGCGUCGGUAAGGUGAUAUGAACCGUUACAGCCGGCGAUGUCCGAAUGGGGAAACCCAGUGCAAUUCGUUGCACUAUCGUUAACUGAAUACAUAGGUUAACGAGGCGAACCGGGGGAACUGAAACAUCUAAGUACCCCGAGGAAAAGAAAUCAACCGAGAUUCCCCCAGUAGCGGCGAGCGAACGGGGAGCAGCCCGGAGUCUGAAUCAGCUUGUGUGUUAGUGGAAGCGUCUGGAAAGUCGCAGGGUACAGGGUGAUACUCCCGUACACUAAAACACACAGGUUGUGAACUCGAAGAGUAGGGCGGGACACGUGGUAUCCUGUCUGAAUAUGGGGGGACCAUCCUCCAAGGCUAAAUACUCCUGACUGACCGAUAGUGAACCAGUACCGUGAGGGAAAGGCGAAAAGAACCCCGGCGAGGGGAGUGAAAAAGAACCUGAAACCGUGUACGUACAAGCAGUAGGAGCCC